rnacentral:rRNA from 1 species
UCCUGGCUCAGGAUGAACGCUAGCGACAGGCUUAACACAUGCAAGUCGAGGGGCAGCACAGGUAGCAAUACCGGGUGGCGACCGGCGCACGGGUGAGUAACGCGUAUGCAACUUACCUAUCAGAGGGGGAUAACCCGGCGAAAGUCGGACUAAUACCGCAUGAAGCAGGGGCCCCGCAUGGGGAUAUUUGCUAAAGAUUCAUCGCUGAUAGAUAGGCAUGCGUUCCAUUAGGCAGUUGGCGGGGUAACGGCCCACCAAACCGACGAUGGAUAGGGGUUCUGAGAGGAAGGUCCCCCACAUUGGUACUGAGACACGGACCAAACUCCUACGGGAGGCAGCAGUGAGGAAUAUUGGUCAAUGGGCGUAAGCCUGAACCAGCCAAGUCGCGUGAGGGAUGAAGGUUCUAUGGAUCGUAAACCUCUUUUAUAAGGGAAUAAAGUGCGGGACGUGUCCCGUUUUGUAUGUACCUUAUGAAUAAGGAUCGGCUAACUCCGUGCCAGCAGCCGCGGUAAUACGGAGGAUCCGAGCGUUAUCCGGAUUUAUUGGGUUUAAAGGGAGCGUAGGCGGACGCUUAAGUCAGUUGUGAAAGUUUGCGGCUCAACCGUAAAAUUGCAGUUGAUACUGGGUGUCUUGAGUACAGUAGAGGCAGGCGGAAUUCGUGGUGUAGCGGUGAAAUGCUUAGAUAUCACGAAGAACUCCGAUUGCGAAGGCAGCUUGCUGGACUGUAACUGACGCUGAUGCUCGAAAGUGUGGGUAUCAAACAGGAUUAGAUACCCUGGUAGUCCACACAGUAAACGAUGAAUACUCGCUGUUUGCGAUAUACAGUAAGCGGCCAAGCGAAAGCGUUAAGUAUUCCACCUGGGGAGUACGCCGGCAACGGU